CAUACCAACGGAUAACAAAAUCGAACCCAUAGGUCGCAAGGACGAUGGAAAGAAAAGAAUUAGGAUGCGGCCUUCGGCUCUCUUGCUACGCCGCUUCCUUUGCUGCUGUGCCAAUGGAGCUCCCUCUACGAGCAACAAGAAGAAGAAUCUCGUCUUCUUGGGUUCCCCUCAGGUAUCGGCAUCUGUGCUUGACAAGUUGCUCGAUGCAUCGAAAGCUUCCAACUCUAUUUUUCAGCUUGCAGCAAUUGUUACCCAGCCGCCUUCUGGAAGAGAUAGGGGUAGAAAGCUGAUGCCAUCCCCAGUUGCACAAUAUGCCUUGGACAAUGGAUUCCCUCAAGAUCUCAUAUUCACACCUGAACGAGCUGGGGAGGAAACCUUUUUAAGUGAUCUGAGGGCACUGAGUCCAGAUCUUUGUGUUACAGUGGCAUAUGGGAAUAUCUUACCUCAGAAGUUUCUUCAGAUUCCACCAAGUGGAACUGUUAAUAUUCACCCAAGUUUGCUGCCUCUGUACCGUGGAGCUGCUCCUGUUCAAAGAGCAUUGCAGGAUGGCGUUACCGAAACAGGAGUAUCGAUUGCAUAUACUGUUCUUGCAUUGGAUGCUGGACCAAUCAUUGCUUAUGAAAAAGUGGAAGUUGAUGAUUUUAUUAAGGCACCAGAGUUGCUUGCAGUGUUAUUUAAUAUAGGAUCAGAACUUCUGAUUCGUGAACUUCCAUCUAUUCUUGAUGGGUCUGCAAAACUAAAAGCUCAGCCACAGGAUGACUCAAAAGCAACUCUGGCACCUAAGCUAACUUCAGAGGAAUCAUGGGUUUCAUUUGACCAAAAUGCUAAACUAAUACACAACAAGGUAAGAGCAUUGGCAGGUUGGCCAGGAACUCGAGCCAGGGUUCAAGUCAUUGACACCGAUGGUCAUCCCAAUGUGCUAGAGAUGAAGUUAAUUACAACGAGAGUUUGUAGUGCUUGUGACAGAGAGGCUGAAGGAAAUGAGAUACUAUUCUCCAGCAGUAAAUUGCUGAUUCCAUGUGCUGGACAGUCUUGGCUUGAGGUCCUGGAGCUGCAGCUCCCAGGGAAAAAGGUGAUGAGUGCUCGUGAUUUUUGGAAUGGCUUGCGGGGUCAAAAGUUGAUGAAGUCAUCUUUGAGUUAAUUUAAUGUGUUUGGUUAAGAAAAACAACAUUCAAAAAUAGAAAAUCAUUGACAGGCUAUAAGAAGACAAAUGUGGCAUCAUGAUUUGAAGGCUUUAUAAAGUUUCAUUGUGUGACCAAAUACUCAGCAUUGCAAAACUGGGAUAACAGCUUUAUUCAUGUGUUAUUAAAAAGUAUGUUUUAAGAUUCACAUAGGCACUUAAUGUGUCCUAGGGAUCUUUUAAGCAUUUUCAAGUUUCGAAGAUCAGCUGCUGCCACAUUGGUUCAUGAAGAUGAAAGCUAGGAAGAAAGUCUUUUGAAGAGUGGGCCUCUCGAUGACUCCGAAUCUGUACGAACACUUUCAGCAAUUCCUCUGCGUGGGAGGUAUUCUCCCUCAUUAAAUUGGGCACUAAAACCUCAACGAUGCAAUAUAUAUAUAGAUUGAUGUGUUGUUCUUUGGAUGAUACCUGAAUCUUUUCAAGGCCCGCAUCACAUAUUUAACAUUGACUUAUGCCUUGAAGCGGCUUGUCUUGGAGGAUGGUCUCCAUCAUUUUUUUGAUUAAUUAAAUUACUGCCUUAAUGUUUGAUUUUGGCACAAAAAAAAGAAAAAAAGGAUGUUGUGAGGUCAAA